rnacentral:lncRNA from 1 species
CUGUACUGUAACAGGGGUGGUCAAAGGCUCUACUGUCUGUAACAGGGGUGGUCCAGUUCAGUCUCUACUGUCUGUAACAGGGGUGGUUCAGUCUCUACUGUCUGUAACAGGGGUGGUCCAGUCUCUACUGUACUGUCUGUAACGGGUGGUUCAGUCUCUACUGUCUGUAAUAGGGGUGGUCCAGUCUCUACUGUACUGUCUGUAACAGGGGUGGUCCAGUCUGUACUGUCUGUAACAGGGGUGGUCCAGUCUUUACUGUCUGUAACAGGGGUGGUCCAGUCUCUACUGUAUGUAACAGGGGUGGUCCAGUCUCUACUGUACUGUAACAGGGGUGGUCCAGUCUCUACUGUCUGUAACAGGGGUGGUCCAGUCUCUACUGUCUGUAACAGGGGUGGUUCAGUCUCUACUGUCUGUAACAGGGGUGGUUCAGUCUCUACUGUCUGUAACAGGGGUGGUCCAGUCUCUACUGUACUGUCUGUAACGGGUGGUUCAGUCUCUACUGUCUGUAAUAGGGGUGGUCCAGUCUCUACUGUACUGUCUGUAACAGGGGUGGUCCAGUCUGUACUGUCUGUAACAGGGGUGGUCCAGUCUCUACUGUCUGUAACAGGGGUGGUCCAGUCUCUACUGUACUGUAACAGGGGUGGUCCAGUCUCUACUGUCUGUAACAGGGGUGGUCCAGUCUCUACUGUCUGUAACAGGGGUGGUUCAGUCUCUACUGUCUGUAACAGGGGUGGUCCAGUCUCUACUGUAUGUAACAGGGGUGGUCCAGUCUCUACUGUACUGUAACAGGGGUGGUCCAGCCUCUACUGUAUGUAACAGGGGUGGUUCAGACUCCACUGUACUGUAACAGGGGUGGUCCAGUCUCUACUGUACUGUAACAGGGGUGGUCCAGUCUCUACUGUCUGUAACAGGGGUGGUCCAGUCUCUACUGUCUGUAACAGGGGUGGUCCAGUCUCUACUGUACUGUAACAGGGGUGGUCCAGUCUCUACUGUACUGUCUGUAACAGGGGUGGUCCAGUCUGUACUGUCUGUAACAGGGGUGGUCCAGUCUCUACUGUCUGUAACAGGGGUGGUCCAGACUCUACUGUCUGUAACAGGGGUGGUCCAGUCCGUACUGUCUGUAACAGGGGUGGUCCAGUCUCUACUGUACUGUCUGUAACAGGGGUGGUCCAGUCUCUACUGUCUGUAACAGGGGUGGUCCAGUCUCUACUGUACUGUAACAGGGGUGGUCCAGUCUCUACUGUACUGUCUGUAACAGGGGUGGUCCAGUCUGUACUGUCUGUAACAGGGGUGGUCCAGUCUGUACUGUCUGUAACAGGGGUGGUCCAGUCUGUACUGUCUGUAACAGGGGUGGUCCAGACUCUACU